GGAGGAGGAGGAUCCUAGGACCCAGGGAGGAAGGCAGAACAGAAAAACUGGGAAAGACAAAGAAAGACAGCAGAGCCAAAAGGAGCAGCUGAAAGCAUAGAGACUGAACCUGGAAGUAACUGAGGAGAGGCUAUUAUGUGAGUUGACACAAUUAACCCUAAAAAUGUCGAAGAAAAGAAAAUGCCAUUUCAACGAGAAUUUAAAAAAGGAAUUUCCUUUCAUCAGAAUUGUAGAUGAAACAAGAGAUGAUUCAUUAGUGAAGUGUCCUGUCUGUUCAGUGGAAUUCAGUGUGGCAGUAGGUGGCUGAUCCAGCAUAACGAAGCAUGUUUCAAACAAACAAACAAACAAACAAACAAACAAACAAACAAACAAACAAA